rnacentral:rRNA from 1 species
UACGUAGGGGGCGAGCGUUGCCCGGAGUACUGGGCGUAAAGCGCACGCAGGCGGUCUGCUAAGUUUGGAGUGACAGUUGGUGGCUUAACUGCCAAAGUGCUUCGAAAACUGACAGACUUGAGGGCUUCAGAGGGACACGGAAUUCCGGGUGGAGUGGUGAAAUGCGUAGAGAUCCGGAGGAACACCAAAGGCGAAGGCAGUGUCCUGGGGAGUACCUGACGCUCAGGUGCGAAAGCCAGGGGAGCGAACGGG